rnacentral:misc_RNA from 1 species
UCUCCGUAGGUGAACCUGCGGAGGGAUCAUUAACGCGUGCCUAAAACACACGUUUAAACAUAUACCAAAUACCGUGAACUAGAAACAACUCCCUUCACUGGCGUGACGAGCGAUAAUCAUAAGGGUGGAGUGUAGGAUAUGGACAAAGCUGGCUUGCUGGCUUUUUCCCCCCUUGCACUAUGACUCGCUCUAGGGGUCCCUCGAGGCCCCAAUCCGCUGUGAAGUGUCUUUGCGACCUCCUGGCAGUCUACAUUUCAGUUUUCGGACUGAUGAUAUGUAGCGUUCUGCUGAAACUUUUUUCACCAACACAUUUUAACCCCUUUCACAACAUACUAAUAACUGAACCUUUUUUUUCAUAUGCUGGCUGCUUAAUUGUAACCGUGGCAUUGAAAAGAAGAUAUACGUAAUGCUGAACAACUCUUAGCAAUGGAUAUCUUGGUUCUC